GGGUCACUCCCCCGGUCACGGAGGAGGGUGGCCGGCGAUCAAUUCCGAUCGCCGGCGCUGGAAACUUCAAGGAAAAGAGACCCAAAAACAGAGGUCCCUUUCCCAACCGAAAAUCGACGAUUUUUGUCGCCGGCAGCCGCGCACAAUUGCACGGGGAGGAAGAAGAAGAAAGAGGAGAAGAAGAGGGGAAACUUACCUUAACCUCCGGUGACCUCGCUG
rnacentral:lncRNA from 1 species